AGGGUGCUGACGGACAGCACUGCAGCCCCUACUGUAACAAUCAUUAAUGACGACUCCAGAGAUGACAGCGGGGCCAUACCGGAACGAGCGGGAAAGGACACAAAUAUGUGAGAUAGUCUGUUAAGUUAGCUAGCUCAAGCGGGUGUUGUAACAGCAAAUUACGUAGCGGUUUCAGACACGAGUAUUGAUUAGUUAAAGUUAAAUUUAUUACGGUUGAAUGCGACGGUGAACGGUAUAAUAAGUGGAUCAGCGAUAGAAUAAGUGGAGCUCUAGUUUGGUUUAGUUGGAUUGAUCCAAGUAAAUACGUCGGAGAUUGGAUUUACGUUACCGUGCAUUCUAGUAGCGAUCAGUAAAGUUGAUUUAUAGCAAGUUCAGAGAUUCGAAUAGACAGAAGGAAUUGUAAUCGUAGAGUUGAAUCAGGG